GGACCGGGGCUGGGGACACGGGGCUGGGGACACGGGGCUGGGGGGUGUCCCUGCCCCCCGGGUCACGCGUGGGGCGGGCAUCGCGGUUCGGGGAGCCCCGGCGCCCCCUCACGCCGGGGUCCGGCAGCAGGAGCCCCAGGCGAGGCAUGGAGCCCCCUCCCCAGAGCGCGCAGGACACCGCGAGCGUGGCGGACGCUGCUGCCGAGUUCCUGAGCCUCAUCGGGCUGAAGGAGCUGGAGUGGUGCCUGUUUGCCGAGACGCUGGCAGUGGUGGCCCCACCAAGGCACAAGGCAGAGGGCCAGUGGUGGAUGGCAGCCCAGUGGGCACCCUACCAUCGGGAAGGGGAGCCGGUGCAGAGCUGCAUCCUGGUGCAGACCAGGUUCCGAGGCAAGCAGGAUGGUGUGCCUGCCUCCAGCACCCUCAAAGCCUAUGUGACCUGGCAGCUGGAGACGCUGGAGCAGGAGGAGCAGGAGUGCCUGGAGGUGACUGAUAUGGUGGUGGCAUGUCCCUUUCCCUGUGUCCUACCUGCUGCCCUGGGCUGUGCCCUGCAGUGGUGCCCUGCUGGGGGCUGUCCCCUGUGGGUAGUCUGGCAUCCCUUGCCAUGCUCAGACUCCAGCUCUGCCCCACCAGCCCGGUCCCCAUCCCCUGCUCUGGGUGGCAGCUGGGGUGGGGAGUUUCCCACAAUGCAUCUGGAAUGGUACCCCGACUGGCAGCGCUGCUGGGGCUGCCAGCUCAGAGGAGGGCGCCCUGGCUCUACCCUCCCCCCCGUGCCUCCCACCCCUCCCGCAGCUCAGACCACACCCCACCGAGAAGACGACGCACAUUGUGAGCCACGAGCACGGGAUGACGGUCACCAAGACCCUGCAGCAGGGAGAGGCGGAGCCGCAGUGCCACAGCUUCUCGUACGGCCGGGCCACGCUGCGGGCGCGGCUGCUGGAGGGGGCCAGCCUGCUGCUGCUGCGGGUGCUGGCACGCCGGCAGACCGUGCCCCCCGGCCUUGUCUUGCCAGCCAUCGACAGCGAGGGCCACCUGUGCACCUCCCGCUAUUGUGCCCUGGGCAUCCAGCGGCAGGCGCUGGGCUCGGCAGAGACAGAGGUGUUUGUGAUCCAGCGGGUCCUGCACGGCAGCACAGGCGCUCCCGCCGUGUGGCACAGCAGCUUCCUGCCCAACGGGUGUCUGGCUCAGAUGGUGCAGAUUGGCUCCCCGGUGCUGAUGAUUCUACAGGAUGAGUCCAUCCUCAGCAAGCCAGGUUUGAGCCCCAGCUCCCCUUCCCCAAAGAGCCCCUGGACUGGGAGGAGGACAAGGAGCUCUACUCCUAUUUCCUGGACAGGAAGGAUGAGCUGCAACUCUCCCAUGCUGCCUACCUCCAG